UUGAUGAUAAAGUUUUGUAUGAUAGUUUUAAUGUAGUGUCUUUACGUACAAACAUUCCACUUAAUGAAGUAGCCAAAUUGAAGAUUAAUGGCUCGACUAACUACACCUCUCACAAGUUAUCAAGUUUGCUACCAAACAAUCAAUUUAUAUUUUCACUGGUGAACUUUGUGAUCAGAUUGAUGGUAUUGCCAUGGGGUUCAGAUUAGCCUCCAGUUUGGCUAAUUUGUUCCGACGUAAAAUGAAAAGAUUUGGUUAGAAAUCUGUCCAGUGAAUACAAAUCAUCUACUGUACAUAAGGAAAAACAUAGAAAUUGUUGCUGAUGUUGGAAAAUACCCCGAGUGGCACUACAGUGCUAUUCUGACAGAAGUUCUUCCUUUUGUGGGACAAAUAAAGCUGCAUGCUGAUUUCCAAAUCAAACCUGCUGGCAGAGAUUUUCUCAUUAUGACAAAUUAUUAUUCAUGCAAAUUGUUUAUGUGUGUUUAUGUGAACAGUUCUUUGACUUUCAAGACAACAGAUAAACAAGGAACAACUGUCACAGAGGUGCUUGUUAUACGUAUGCCUUUCCUAUUAAAUUGGUGCCUUGGCUUAAGAGCAGUGGAGGAAUACCAUAAGACAUGGUUGAAAAACAUUAAACACCAUCAAGAAGCCAUGGGAUAGAUAAAUGACCAAAACUGUUGAAACUGAUAUAUACGUGUGCUAAAAGUUUAACUUCAAAUAUAUAUGUACAUUAAUGAACUAUAAUUUUCUAGUGAAUUUUUUUUUGUUUUGAAUAUAUAAAUAUAUUAUAUACCUUAGCUUCAAUAACAGUAUGAAGAAUUUUUAGUUUCCUUUAGCAGUAUGCUACUAAUUGUUUUAUAAAGGCUAGAUUAUCAAAUCUUAGUACAUUUCCAAUAAUAGAAAAGAAAACUGUAAAUUGAAAACACCUUAAUAUACCUUAAACUAAAAUAAAGAAUUUCUGUGAUGACUGUUCUUUCUUCAAUCUAACUGGGCUUCCAAAUUUUGAUUAUACAUAAUUUUUGGCUAGUCAUGAUGCACAAGGAUUUUUUAUUGUAGUGUAUCACUUAAAGUGGCAAGAUUCAUGGUUAUACAAAAAAAAGGAAGAAAAACUUCAGAAGGUGCCCAAUGUCUGGAUAUCUAUUCUGAUCACAGCUAUGUUGCAUGUAAACUUCAGGACAUUUUUUUUGAGGAUUUUAUAUAAGCAAAAUAGUGUAACCCACUCACAUUUAAAAUUGAUAAAAAAGAAAUGACUGCUGUAAAAAAUUGUUGAUUUUAAUUUUAGAUACAACAAAUUAUGACACGUUAGGUAUCAGUGUUAUUGGUAUUUAAUGUAUUAUCUAAGAAAGAAACCAAAUAAAACAUGAAAUAAG